rnacentral:rRNA from 1 species
UACAGAGGUCCCGAGCGUUGUUCGGAUUCACUGGGCGUAAAGGGUGCGUAGGUGGCAUGGAAAGUUUGAUGUGAAAGCUCAGGGCUUAACCCUGAAAUGGCAUUGAAUACUGCCGUGCUGGAGGUUUGGAGGGGGGACUGGAAUUCUUGGUGUAGCAGUGAGAUGCGUAGAUAUCAAGAGGAACACCAGUGGCGAAGGCGAGUCCCUGGACAACACCUGACACUGAGGCACGAAAGCCGGGGGAGCAAACAGG